AAGAGUCAUGGUGGUAAUGCCAAAGGGUAUACUACUUCACUGAUCCUUCCAAUAAUCUGAUAUGGUCCAAUAUACCUUGGACUUAAUUUUCGCGACUUAAAAUUUCCUUUCAAUCUCAAUCUCGGAGUAACCUUCAAGAAUACAUGACCACCUUCUCCAAACUCCAAUGGUCUCCAUCUAUGGUUUGCAUAACUCUUUUGAUGAUCUUGAGCCUUUUUUAUAUUUUCUUAUAUCAUCUUGAUCUUUUCUAUGGUCUUUUGAAUAAUCUCCAGUCAUAUAAUCCACUUCUCACUAACUUCCAUCCAACAAAGAUGGCUUCGACAUCUCCUUCCUUAAAGAGCUUCAUAUGGAGUCAUUCUAAUACUAGAAUAAUAAUUGUUAUUGUAUGCAAACCCAAUCAAGGGUAUGAGGUCUUUCCAAUUUUUUCCACUUUCAAGCAC
rnacentral:lncRNA from 1 species